rnacentral:lncRNA from 1 species
AGUGGAUAUAGAUAAUGAGAUAAUCCACAUCUAAUAAAACUUUAGCUUAUUUUUCUCUUUCAUCUCACUUCCUAGUUAGCUAGCAAAAACUAAAUAGAGAGAAAGAGAGAGAAGAGAGGCAUGUUCGGCAGCCACAUGGUGAAGAGGGAGGGGAGAUUUUGACUCUCAUGAAACCAAGAUCCAUCCAUGGAAGGAAGGAAGAAGGAGGAGGAGAAAAUCAAGCUAAGGUAUAAUAAAAAUUUCUACUUGUGUAGGAUAAAUUUCCUUGGUGUUUUGAUUUGAUUUUUGACAACUUGAAGUUGUGAUCUUGAGGUUUAAAACCUUAGAUCUAUGUAUAUAUAAGUGUUUCAUGUUUAGAUCUAACAAUAUUGGGUGUUGAUUUUGGUUGGAAUCAAAGGUAUAAAUUUCCUAAACUCAAAACUCUAGUUAGUUUAUGUGUUUUGUGAUGGUUGUUUUUCAUCAAGUGUUGAACUUAUGAUCCAUAUGAGGGAAGAUCUACAUGAUAUAUGAUAUUUUAUGGUUAGAUCUUGCCAUUUUUAGGGUUGAUAAGCUUGAACAAAGAAGAUGAACCAAAACAGUUUUUU